GUGGGACCACGAGUCCUGUGGAUGUCACUGUCACAGUGAGCUUCUGCAGGAGUGCUCAGUGCCUGAGAGUUCCAGCAGCGUCCCAGUGUCUUGCAGUGCAAUGAGCUUCACCUCACAAAAAACCCCAAGGGAAGGAAGGCAGAUUAAUGGGAAGCUGAGUUAACUGCACGUGUGCCAGGACAUGUCCCCAGCCUGGCAUCUCUGUCCUGCCUCUGCUGGCACCUGAGCUCAGAGCCAGCCCUCCCACUGUCAGGGUGUGGGGGUUGCUGCCCUUCUGCUUCCAAAACCCAAAAGUGCAAAUCCACAGCAAUAAAUCCUGCAAAA